rnacentral:rRNA from 1 species
UACGGAGGGUGCAAGCGUUAAUCGGAAUUACUGGGCGUAAAGCGUGCGUAGGCGGUUCGUUAAGUCUGUUGUGAAAGCCCCGGGCUCAACUUGGGAAUGGCAAUGGAUACUGGCGAGCUAGAGUGUGUCAGAGGAUGGUGGAAUUCCCGGUGUAGCGGUGAAAUGCGUAGAGAUCGGGAGGAACAUCAGUGGCGAAGGCGGCCAUCUGGGACAACACUGACGCUGAGGCACGAAAGCGUGGGGGAGCAAACAGGAUUAGA